UUCGUUCCCUUGUUUUACUAAAUCGUGCGCAAGACAUUACUAAAUCAUUGCCACGUUUUAGUUUAAUCAAAUCAAGCACGAACUAUUAUAUCAUGCGCAUAGGCUGGCUUGACUUUAGGCACUACACCGGAUGUUCACAGAUGACGACUCACUUGACUGGGGCAACUUACAGCUGUUGAUUCCUUCUCAAAGUUAUUGUCACCUCAAGAUAUAAGGUGUCACCCUACAGAGUUAUCCUGAGUCAGUCAAGCUGUGUGAAUGACAUUCAUUUUACAAUAAGAUAAGCACAGAGUUCAAUAGAGUAGUCACCACCGAUCAACUGCAGUCAUUCUUGGAUGGACUAGAUGCCUUGGUGUCUUUUAGAGCUGUACAAAGCAGCUGUAUCAUCAAGCAGGAGG